AAGAAAACACAAUGAGGUGUCCAAGAAAAACUCAGCCUUCACACUUGAGAAAUCUGUGUUAUUAAGCUGUCGGAUCUGCUGGGAACAUCCUCAGAGAUAUUGGCACCUGAAAUCAUCACAGACAUGCUAAGAGCGUACUAAGUGCUGUCCCAGGAAGGACCUGAACUCUAAGAGCAUUUACAUGGACAUCUGCAAAACAAAGAUGUCAGCAGACACUUUUUG